UGUAAGGCCAAAGCCAAACAAAAGCCAUAGAAAGUACAAGUGUCAGGGGAGAAAUCAGUCCCGAGGUCGAGGACAGACCAUUUUUCGCGCCCAAAAUCAGUGGUUGAAAAUGAGCAGCAAGAACGACAUGAAUCGCCGCAUUGCUGCGGUCGCCAAGAAGAAACGCUCCAAAAAGCCAAAAAACAAUAGGCCUCCCCCCAACAAGGCCAAAGAGACCAAUGACAACAACUCGGCCAGGGGAAGCUCCCCCGCGGCUGUCCAGUCAGAGAGGGCGCCCACACCUCCUCCUCCUCCCCCUCCUGCUCCCAAGCCUGUUUUGGUCAGGUACAGUACGUGUGGCGACCCUGAUUUUGGCGUGGCAUUUGAUAACGAUGUAACUGACACCUCCUA